rnacentral:rRNA from 1 species
UGAGAGGAGAAUCCCCCACACUGGUACUGAGACACGGACCAGACUCCUACGGGAGGCAGCAGUAAGGAAUAUUGGUCAAUGGGCGGAAGCCUGAACCAGCCAUGCCGCGUGCAGGAUGACUGCCCUAUGGGUUGUAAACUGCUUUUGUCCAGGAAUAAACCUUUCUACGUGUAGGGAGCUGAAUGUACUGGAAGAAUAAGGAUCGGCUAACUCCGUGCCAGCAGCCGCGGUAAUACGGAGGAUCCGAGCGUUAUCCGGAUUUAUUGGGUUUAAAGGGUGCGUAGGCGGCCUAUUAAGUCAGGGGUGAAAUACGGUGGCUCAACCAUCGCAGUGCCUUUGAUACUGAUGGGCUUGAAUCCAUUUGAAGUGGGCGGAAUAAGACAAGUAGCGGUGAAAUGCAUAGAUAUGUCUUAGAACUCCGAUUGCGAAGGCAGCUCACUAAGCUGGUAUUGACGCUGAUGCACGAAAGCGUGGGGAUCGAACAGGAUUAGAUACCCUGGUAGUCCACGC